GUUGCAUUGCAUAAAUUGUUGUUGAUGUGGGUGAAUGUUGGAUGAUCCAUAGUCCUCGACCUAUGAUGUGACGAUAUGAUAUGUACGGUAUGGAAAGUAAGACCAGUGGGACCCAUUCUACGUUCGCUGGCACUAUGUAAGAGAAAGACCAGGACCCAUUCUACGUUCUGGCACAGUUGAGCUGUUAUGUUAUGCCAUGUAAGAGAAAGACCAGGACCCAUUCUACGUUCUGGCACAGUUGGACUAUGUAGAGGACUAUUGGUGACAAAUUCAUCCUUGAUGUGAUUACCUGUGAUGUGAUGCAUUCCAUGUUAUCAUAUGUUUUAAAUGUUUUAUUAUUCUGCUCACUGGGCUCUAGUAGCUCACCCCUCUCCCUAAUCCCCCAGGUUUGCAGGUACAGGGUAGACCAGGAGGUCAGCAAGAGUAAUGAAGUAUUGUCUUUGUAAUAGACAGAAUGUGGACAUGAUGAAUUGUAAAAAUUAUGUAAAGUUAUGUAAUGUUUUAAUAUUGAGGAUUAGAGGUUGUGCUUGACCUAUGUGUAAUGUAUCCCUUUAAUACAUGAUCUUAGAUGUUUUAUGAUGUUUAUGUAAACCAACUCAACAUAUGUAGUAUCGCCCAUUGGGGCAUUGAUGAGAUCCCACAAGAGGGGUCAUGCUUAUGAUUAUGACUAUGUUCAGAGCAUGCACAGGUUGAGUUUGGUGUAUGAUAGAAUGUAUGAAAGAAAGUUUUAAAUUUUUAUGUAUGUCCUUGAUCAUGUAUGGGAUUAAACAGGUUCUCAGGAUGUUAUGUUAGGCUUGCUACGGGUCCCGGCGGCCUUAAGCCGACCUGGAUCCUAGCGCUGGUAGCGGUCCGAUUUUCGGGUCGUUACAGAAUAGUAUCAGAGCCCUAGGUUCAUAGGAUCGGACCUAGAGUGUCGGGCUCAUAGAUGUUCUAGAAGGUCAAGCACAAUAGGAAGAUCAUGUCCACUAGGAUAGGAUGUUGAGUCCUGUCUAUGAUGAUGUGAAAUGCCAUGAUUAUAUACAUGUGCAUUGAUGCUAUGAUAUGAAUGAUAUGUAUGUGAUGCGGGUUCAUGUGUUCCCACAUGAACCAUAUGAUGCUAAUAUUUGUGUGAUGUGUACUGUUUUUCAGAAACAGGAUGAGAGGAACCCGUCGAUCGGCAAGAUUGACUGGAGUGCCACCUGAGGAUGAGGGCACGAGCGCCCGUCCUCCUGCAUUGCCUAGGGCAAUGUCAUGUAGAUCAAGCAGAGAAAGAGUGUCAAGGGACCCUAGAAGGUCUUUUGAUGCUAGCAGAAGGGGGACAGAUAGAGGAGGAAGUUCUUCGGAUGUGAGGGAAGUUAUGGAAGAGGAUCAGAGAAGGGAUGGGAAUCUGGAUGUCAGCAUGGCAGAAGAAGGGACAGGGGAGUCACAGGGAGGCGCUCAGGCCUCGGGGUAUGGUUUUCCACCCCAUUAUCCACCCUUCCCACAGGGUUCAGGAUAUCCGAUGGGAGGCACAUCGGAUUACUCCAGCUUUAACCCCUACCCUACCUACAUGCCUUAUCCACCUUUCUAUCCACCUUACACACAGUACCUUAAGCUUUAACCCCUACCCUAGACCUAGCUCAGCCGGAGGGAGCAAGGUGAAGAUGACAGAUUACCUUAAGCUGGAUGCUCCCAAAUACAAGUCAGGGGAUGAUCCCUUUGAGUACCUUAGAGUAGUGAAGACGAUAACCGAUGAGCUAGGGGCAGAUGAUAGCAGGGCCAUUCAGAUGGCAGGGUUCACCUUAAAGUGCAAAAAGGCACGGGAAUGGUUCAAGUGUUAUGUGGACCCGAGACUAGACGCCAUGACAUGGGAAGAAUUUGCGAAUGAGUUUGCUGGAUGGGCUUUUCCAGACAGUUCCAGAGAACUGAAGAUGAUUGAGUUUGAGCAGCUGAGAUAGACAGAGCACAUGAGUAUAGAGGAGUACACGUUUAAAUUUUUGGAGCUAUUGCCUUUUUCAGGGCAAGCUCUAGAUACAUACUCAAAGAAAGCCAAGAGAUAUGUUAUGACACUGCAUUCUAGGUACUCCUCUUUGAUUCAGUCAGUUGAGAGGGAAAGUUUCCACACUAUAGUGGAUAUGGCGCGAAGGAUGGAGGCAAGUGCUAUAGUUGAGGGGUCAGUGAAGCAGUCAGUGACCCAGUCUUCAAGGGUUAAGACCCCAGGCAGAGGAGGGCCAGCUCCCUCUUCUUAGAGCUCAGGUAGCAAGAGGUGGAAUAACACCACCAAGAAGCCGAAGAAGAACAAGUUUUGGAGUAAGUUGAAAUCCGGUCUGGGAUUAGGCGGUGGCUCGAGCUCAGGCUCAGAUGGUGCAGAAUGCCUAAGGUGUGGGAGGCCACACAGGGGAGUGUGUCGGGCUGGGACUAAUGCAUGUUUCAGAUGUGGACAGGAGGGACACAUGGCUCGGGAGUGUCCUAGAGCACCUUUUAUGGGCCAGCCCCAGCAGACAGCUUCUGGUAGUGUGGCACAGCCAGCAGCUCCAGCCACAACUCAGGACAGUGGCAAAGGUAGAGGGAGAGGGGCAGCCUCUUUUUCUGGUUCCCAAGGUGAAGGUCCAUCAGCUCCAGCCAGGAUCUUCACUAUGACUCAGCAGGAGGCUAACACAUCCAACACCGUGGUGUCAGGUAAUCUCAUCAUUGGGUGUUCUGAUGUGUAUGCUUUAAUGGACCCGGGUGCAUCUCAUUCUUUGAUUGCUCCGAGAGCCGUUGAGAGGUUGGGUCUGAUAGUCUCUGGGUUAGAGUGUCCCCUAUGGGUCAGUGGACCCAAGUGUGACCCGUCAGUGGCAGAGUCAGUCUGCCAGUACAGUCCAGUUUUUGUUGAGGGAAGAUGCCUCUCCGCCGACCUUGUGGUUCUAGAUUUGACAGACUUUGACGUCAUUCUAGGGAUGGAUUGGCUAUCUACCCAUGGUGCUACCUUGGACUGCAGAGACAAGGUAGUCAGGUUCAGAGAUCAGAACGGGUCAGAGGUCGUCUUCAGAGGAGACAAGAGGGGUACACCUAGAGGUCUGAUAUCAGCUCUUCAGGCUCGUAGGUUGCUUAGGAAGGGAUGUCAGGGAUAUUUGGCUCAUAUGAGAGAGCUUAGCAGUCAGGUUAGGGAGCCAGCCUCAGUGCCAGUUGUCAGAGAAUUUCAGGAUGUUUUUCCAGACGAGCUUCCAGGUUUACCACCUGCUAGGGAGAUAGAGUUCGAGAUAGAGUUGAUGCCUGGAACUAGACCGAUCUCUAUCCCUCCCUACAGGAUGGCCCCAGCCGAGUUGAAGGAGUUGAAAGAGCAGUUACAAGAGCUGGUAGAAAGGGCUUCAUCUAACCGAGUACCUCACCUUGGGGUGCUCCAGUCUUGUUUGUGAAGAAGAAGGAUGGAUCCCUCAGACUUUGUAUCGACUACAGGCAGUUGAACAAAGUCACUACCAAGAACUGGUACCCUCUGCCAAGGAUCGACGAUCUAUUCGACCAGCUAGCAGGAGCCGGUUGUUUCUCUAAAAUAGAUCUGAGAUCGGGGUGCCAUCAUCUAAGGAUAAUGGAGGAAGACGUGCCAAAGACAGCUUUCAGGACCAGAUAUGGGCAUUUUGAGUUCCUUGUAAUGCCGUUUGGGUUAACCAACGCCCCUGUAGCAUUCAUGGAUCUCAUGAACAGAGUGUUUAGCCAAUACCUGGAUCACUUUGUUAUUGUCUUCAUAGAUGAUAUCUUAGUGUAUUCCAGGAAUGCAGAGGAGCAUGCCCAUCAUCUGAGGUUGGUUCUGCAGACCUUGAGGGAACACGGCUUGUAUGCCAAGUUCUCCAAGUGUGAGUUCUGGCUGAGGAACAUUUCAUUCUUGGGGCAUGUAGUGUCAGAGAACGGGAUAGAGGUGGACCCCAAGAAGGUAGAAGCUGUGGCUAACUGGUCUAGACCCACAUCAGUGACAGAAAUCAGGAGUUUCUUGGGUUUGGCGGGUUACUACAGGAGGUUCGUUCAGGACUUCUCUAAGAUUGCAGCUCCUCUGACCAGACUAACUAGGAAGAAUCAGAAGUUUAUAUGGACUGACCAGUGCGAAGAGAGUUUUGAAGAGCUUAAGAAGAGGUUGACUUCAGCACCAGUGUUAGCUCUGCCAUCUAGCAAUGAAGACUUCUCAGUGUAUUGUGAUGCGUCCCGUGUGGGACUGGGUUGUGUGUUAAUGCAGAAUGAAAGGGUGAUUGCUUAUGCUUCUAGACAGCUGAAGAAGCAUGAGUUUAAUUACCCCACACAUGACCUGGAGAUGGCAGCAGUAAUCUUUGCACUCAAGAUAUGGAGGCACUACCUCUAUGGGGUUAAAUGUGAGAUCUUCACAGAUCAUAAGAGCCUGCAGUACAUCCUAAGUCAAAGAGAUUUGAACUUGAGACAGAGAAGAUGGGUAGAGCUGCUAAGUGACUAUGAUUACAAAAUACAGUACCAUCCGGGUAAGGCGAAUGUUGUGGCAGACGCUUUAAGCCGAAAAUCACUUGGCAGUUUGUCCCAUAUUUCAGCAGAGAGGAGACCAGUGGUGAAGGAGUUUUACAAGCUCAUAGAGGAAGGUCUACAGUUGGAGUUGUUUGGUACAGGUGCUUUAGUUGCUCAUAUGAGAGUGGCACCCGUGUUUCUGGAGCAGGUGGCUCAGAGACAGCAUGAGGACCCAGAGUUAGUGAAGAUUGCCAGGACUGUUCAGUCAGGCAAAGAUAGUGAGUUCAGAUUCGACAGCAAGGGGAUCCUCCGCUAUGGGAGCCGACUAUGUGUACCAGAUGACAUAGGGCUAAAAGGAGACAUUAUGAGAGAGGCUCAUAAUGCAAGAUACAGCGUUCACCCCGGAGCCACCAAGAUGUACCAAGAUCUGAAGAAAGUUUAUUGGUGGCCAGCUAUGAAGAAAGAAGUGGCACAGUUUGUGUCAGCCUGCGAAAUGUGUCAGAGGGUGAAGCUAGAACAUCAUAAGCCGGCUGGAAUGCUUAACCCGCUACCUAUUCCAGAGUGGAAAUGGGAGAAUAUAGCGAUGGACUUCGUAGUGGGGUUACCGGCGAUGUCCAACAGAUUGGACUCCAUAUGGGUGAUAGUAGACAGACUCACCAAAUCUGCUCACUUCAUCCCUGUCAGGAGUGGCUAUUCUGUGGACAAGUUGGCGCAGGUGUACGUUGAUGAGAUCAUCAGACUGCAUGGGAUGCCUGUUUCAAUAGUGUCCGAUAGAGGACCCCAGUUCACCUCUAGGUUUUGGCGGAGUCUGCAGAAUGCCAUGGGUACCAGGUUGGAUUUCAGUACUGCCUUCCAUCCACAGAUGGACGGACAAUCAGAAAGGACCAUCCAGACAAUAGAGGAUAUGCUCAGAAUGUGUGCGCUGGACUUUGGCGGUUCUUGGAGGCAACAUCUACCUUUGGUGGAGUUUGCCUACAAUAACAUCCAUCAUGCUAGCAUCGGGAUGGCUCCAUAUGAAGCUUUAUAUGGAAGGAAGUGCAGGUCACCGGUUUGCUGGAAGGAAGUUAGAGAGAAGGCCUUGGCAGGGCCUGAGCUUGUAGAGAUCACCAGCAGGGUGGUACCCAUAAUCAGAGAAAGAAUCAAGACUGCUACGAGCAGACAGAAGAGUUAUACAGACAUCCGCAGAAGACAAGUAGAGUUUCAGGAGGGGGAUCUGGUAUUGCUCAAGGUGUCUCCUAUGAAAGGAGUGGUUCGCUUUGGGAAGAAAGGUAAACUAGCCCUAGAAUACAUCGGACCCUUUGAAAUCUUGCAAAAGAUUGAGAAUGUGUCGUACAAGCUGGAUUUACCUGCUUCAAUGGAAAGAAUCCAUCCGGUUUUCCAUGUUUCAAUGUUGAGGAAGUUUGUGUCAGAUCCGGGCAAGGUUCUUAGUGAGCCUGAUGUGGAGGUCCAAGAGGAUCUCACCUAUGUUGAGCAGCCAGUACGGAUCAUAGACACCCAAAUCAGGAAGCUGAGAAACAAGGAAAUCCCGAUGGUGAAAGUCCUGUGGAACCACCACAAUAUGGAAGAAUGCACCUGGGAGACACGGGAGUCUAUGCUCCAACAGUACCCUCAUCUCUUUUAAGGUUAGAUCUCUAUGUGUUUUAUGUGUAUGUUAUGUUGUAUGCCUUGCAUGUGCUAGUUGAGGAACAUUCGGGGACGAAUGUUCUUAAGGGGGGGAGAAUGUAAUACCCGGCUAGACUCAGGUAUCGGAAUUCCUACCAUCCGGUGGAAUCUCGGAUGUCGGAAGCCUCUAGUAGGGUAGAAACAUGUUUUCAUAAAUGUUUUAAUGUAUUCCAUGGUUUUAAGUAAAAAGGAAAUGAGUUUUUGCAUGAAAACAACCUUGGAGGAAAACUCAGGUUCGGCCGCCGAACAUGCAUGCGUUGCGGGUGUGCCUUAGGCCCCCGAAAGCAUAAGUGAGGGAAACCAGGUUCGGCUGCCGAACCUUAUGUUCGGCCGCCGAACAUGGCAUGCAUGCGGAGGCACUUUCGGCUCCCGAAUGUGGCCUGGCCAGCCACCUAUAAAGGGGUCCCUUAGCCGAAAACGGGAGAGUUUUUCUCCCUAUUUUCGGCUAAGGUGAGCUCCCCGCCGUCCCUCACCGAUCUUGAGUUUCUUCCUUCCAUUCUUCAUGAUUUUUAUGAGUUUGCAACUUUGUUUUGAAGGUUUUGAACAUUUGAGCAAGUUUUGGAGCUUGGAGGUUCAAGGAACUCUCUCUCCCAUUUUCCGAGCUAGGGUCGUUCUCCUCUCGAUCUUCAAGAGGUAAGGGCCGAUCUUGAGCUUAUGGCAUGUUUUAAGUAAGUUUUAAGUAGAUCUAUGGGGUAGAAUGCAUGUUUAGCUCAUGGUUAGGUUUAUGGGUUUAUGUUAUGAUUUUGGACAAUGUGGCUUGGAUAUGUUGUUUGAUAUGUUGAAGAAGGGGUUUAAGAUAGUUUGAAACCCCUAGGAGCUUGUAUGCUUGUGUAUGAGUGUUGUAGAAUAGGUUUAUGCAUGAUUGGAAAGUUUUGGAGGCGUAUGUGCAUAGAAGAGCUGAGUUUCUGCCACUAUGGGAGAAACCAGGUUCGGCAGCCGAAGGAACUUUCGGCCGCCGAACAUGCUUGUGUCGGCAGCCUUCGGCUGUCGAAGCCUGCGCUCGAAAGAGGACUUUCGUCUCUGGAGGGCAGAUUCGGCCGUCGAAAGUGCCGCCGAACAUGCAUGAGUUUCGUCUCUGUUUGGGAGUUUCGGCCGCCGAAGGUGCCGCCGAACCUGCCUGACUUUCGGCUCUGGAGGGACUUUCGACCGCCGAACCUGCCGCCGAAAGUGCCCUGUCCAGCCUUCCUUUGCAUGUUUUUCUAUGAUUGUUUCAUGAUGUUUUAGGGGUUUUUGGGGAGUAGUUUAGAGUUAUGUUCAUGUAUGUUUGGUCCCUCAUUUGAGUCCGCCUGUGUAGGUUCGGACCCCAGGAACCGAGGACCCCAGCAGUGAGUCGGUUGCCCCAGUGUCUGGUCAGAGCUAUCCAGAGGUGAGUGGAAUAACUUAUUACGUUUUAAAGCAAAUAAAUGGACAUUUUUAGCAUGACUCACGCAUCAUUAAUGCCAUAAGAUAUACUAGGUUGUUGCAUUAGAAUUCACGAAUCUGUUGCAUUGCAUAAAUUGUUGUUCAUGUGGGUGAAUGUUGGAUGAUCCAAAGUCCUCGACCUAUGAUGUGACGAUAUGAUAUGUACGGUAUGGAAAGUAAGACUAGUGGGACCCAUUCUACGUUCGCUGGCACUAUGUAAGAGAAAGACCAGGACCCAUUCUACGUUCUGGCACAGUUGGACUGUUAUGUUAUGCCAUGUAAGAGAAAGACCAGGACCCAUUCUACGUUCUGGCACAGUUGGACUAUGUAGAGGACUAUUGGUGAUAAAUUCAUCCUUGAUGUGAAUAGCUGUGAUGUGAUGCAUUCCAUGUUAUCAUAUGUUUUAAAUGUUUUAUUAUUCUGCUCACUGGGCUCUAGUAGCUCACCCCUCUCCCUAAUCCCC
rnacentral:lncRNA from 1 species